rnacentral:rRNA from 1 species
CGGGAGGCAGCAGUGGGGAAUUUUGGACAAUGGGGGAAACCCUGAUCCAGCAAUGCCGCGUGUGUGAAGAAGGCCUUCGGGUUGUAAAGCACUUUUGGCAGGAACGAAACGGCUUGGGUUAAUACCUCGGGCUAAUGACGGUACCUGCAGAAUAAGCACCGGCUAACUACGUGCCAGCAGCCGCGGUAAUACGUAGGGUGCAAGCGUUAAUCGGAAUUACUGGGCGUAAAGCGAGCGCAGGCGGUUAUGUAAGACAGAUGUGAAAUCCCCGGGCUUAACCUGGGAACUGCAUUUGUGACUGCAUGGCUAGAGUGCGUCAGAGGGGGGUGGAAUUCCACGUGUAGCAGUGAAAUGCGUAGAGAUGUGGAGGAACACCGAUGGCGAAGGCAGCCCCCUGGGAUGACACUGACGCUCAUGCUCGAAAGCGUGGGGAGCAAACAGGAUUAGAUACCCGAGU